rnacentral:rRNA from 1 species
GAUGAACGCUGGCGGCGUGCCUAAUACAUGCAAGUCGAGCGAACAGACGAGGAGCUUGCUCCUCUGACGUUAGCGGCGGACGGGUGAGUAACACGUGGAUAACCUACCUAUAAGACUGGGAUAACUUCGGGAAACCGGAGCUAAUACCGGAUAAUAUAUUGAACCGCAUGGUCCAAUAGUGAAAGACGGUUUUGCUGUCACUUAUAGAUGGAUCCGCGCCGCAUUAGCUAGUUGGUAAGGUAACGGCUUACCAAGGCAACGAUGCGUAGCCGACCUGAGAGGGUGAUCGGCCACACUGGAACUGAGACACGGUCCAGACUCCUACGGGAGGCAGCAGUAGGGAAUCUUCCGCAAUGGGCGAAAGCCUGACGGAGCAACGCCGCGUGAGUGAUGAAGGUCUUCGGAUCGUAAAACUCUGUUAUUAGGGAAGAACAAAUGUGUAAGUAACUAUGCACGUCUUGACGGUACCUAAUCAGAAAGCCACGGCUAACUACGU